CUGCUUUAUUUUUGCACAAUACUUUUGAACAUGAUUUUGUUUGCUAUUCUUUUCCUAUGUUAUUAGGUAGUUUAUAUCCUUUUCCUAUGUUAAUCUUUUUUUUUUCAUUGCCCACUCUGUUGGCGCUAAAUGACCAAAACAGGGGCAUCAAUAACAUCCGACAGUUGUCAAUGUCUUAAAUAAAUAAUGAAUUUUAGUUUCUCCUUAAAAACUUUAAAUACUUUGAAAGUUAAGGUCUCGUAUCAAAGGACUUAUGUGCGAUGUAAUUGAAGGACUGGUAAGCUGACGACGAACAAUAUUAUAAUACAAACCAGAA